UGGCAGGUCAGCAUACUGCCGUGAAUACGUUCCCGGGCCUUGUACACACCGCCCGUCACACCAUGGGAGUCGGUAACACCCGAAGCCUGUAGUCUAACCGCAAGGGGGACGCAGUCGAAGGUGGGAUUGAUGACUGGGGUGAAGUCGUAACAAGGUAGC
rnacentral:rRNA from 1 species